GGGGGGAAAUUAAUAAAGUAUAAAUAAUAAAAAAAAUUUUAAAUUAAAAAUAUGAUAAUGGGGGUUAAAGUAUUUUUAAUUAAAAUAAUAAAAAAAUUUAUAGAAAAUUAUGUAUUGUAGAAGAAAUUUGAAAUAAUAUUAAAAAAUAAAUUAAUAAAAAGAAAAUUUAGUUUAUUGUAUCUUGUGUAUCAGAGUUUAUUAAAUAAAAUUUUUAUGUAAAAAAAUCUCGAAUUUUAAAGAACUAAUUAAUUAUAAAAAUUAAUGUAGUAUAAUUAUUUUUAAUAAUUAAUUAGAAAUGAAAUGUUAAUCGUUUUAAAAAAUAUCUAGUUAUUUUGGAAAAAAAUUUAAUUUUAAAUUUAAAUUAUUUUAUAAUUAAUUAAAUUAAAAUUAUAAAAAAAAUUAAAUUUUAUAUUUUGGGGGAUAAGCUUUAAAUUAAAAAUUUAUAAUUUAAAAAAAUAAAAAUAAAAUUUUUAAAAUUUAAAUUGUUUAUAAAUUAAAAUUUAUUAUAAAAAAUUUUGUUAAAUAAAAAAAUUUAAUUAGAAAAAUUUAAUUUUAUAUAAAAUAAUAAUUUUUAAUAAAAUAAAAUUAAAAAUAAUGAUAAAAUUAGUAUAAUUAUAAUUUAAAUAAUGUAAAUAAGUAAUAAAUUAAUUAAAAGGAAUUCGGCAAAAUUAAUUAUUCACUUGUUUAUCAAAAACAUGUCUUUUUGAAAAUAAUUUAAAGUCUAAUCUGCCCACUGAUAAAUAUUAAAGGGCUGCAGUAUAUUGACUGUACAAAGGUAGCAUAAUCAAUAGUUUUUUAAUUGGAAACUUGAAUGAAAGAUUUAAUGAAAUAAUAACUGUCUUUAAGUUAUUCUUAAAAUUUUAUUUUUUAGUGAAAAAGCUAAAAUAAAUUUAAAAGACGAGAAGACCCUAUAGAGUUUUAUAUUUAAUUUAUUUUUAUUAUAUAUAAAUUAAUAUAAAAAAUAAAUAAAAUAUUAUAUUGGGGUGAUAGAAAAAUUUAAUUAACUUUUUUUAAAUUAUAAACAUUAAUAAAUGAUUUUUUGAUCCAUAAAUAAUGAUUAAAAGAAAAAAUUACCUUAGGGAUAACAGCGUAAUAUUAUUUUUUAGUUCAAAUAAAAAAUAAAGUUUGCGACCUCGAUGUUGGAUUAAGAUAAAAUUUAAAUGCAAAAGUUUAAAAGUUUGAUCUGUUCGAUCAUUAAAAUCUUACAUGAUCUGAGUUCAAACCGGCGUGAGCCAGGUUGGUUUCUAUCUUUAGAAAAAUAAAAUAUUUUAGUACGAAAGGAUUAAAUAUUUAAAAUAAUUUUAAUUAAAAGAAUUUUAAUAAUAAUAGGUU
rnacentral:rRNA from 1 species